rnacentral:tRNA from 1 species
GGGCCGGUAGCUCAGUUGGUAGAGCAGGGGACUUUUAAUCCCAAGGUCGCAGGUUCGAGACCUGCCCGGCCCA